rnacentral:rRNA from 1 species
GGGGAAUCUUCCGCAAUGGGCGCAAGCCUGACGGAGCAAGACCGCGUGCGGGAGGACGGCCUAUUGGUUGUAAACCGCUUUUGAUAGGGAAGAAGCUCUGACGGUACCUAUCGAAUCAGCAUCGGCUAACUCCGUGCCAGCAGCCGCGGUAAUACGGAGGAUGCAAGCCUGAUCCGGAAUUAUUGGGCGUAAAGCGUCCGUAGGGGGUUGUUCAAGUCUGCUGCAAAAGCGUGCGGUUUAACCGCAUACCAGCAGAGGAAUCUGGGCGACUCGAGUGCGGUAGCGGUCAGGGGAAUUCCCAGGGAAGCGCAGAAAUGUGAAGAUAUAGGGAAGUACACCAGCGGAGAAAAGUGAUAAUGGGGCCGGAACCGACACUGAGGGUUGAAAUCUAGGGGAGGGAAUGGGAUUAGAUACCUCGAUAAUC